CCUCCAUCUUGCGGCAAGAUAAGUUAUUAUAGCUUAUCCCUCUUUGCCGAUUCAUCAGUAACUCGAACUUUGAUUUUCUCAAACCUGACGUUUGCUAAAUCAUACGAAUCUCGAGUGCUAAAUUAGAAAGCCUUGGCGCCAUACCCACAAGUCUUGAUCACAAGAUGAUAUGCUCCAAUCGUGAUCACGCAUUAGGCCUCCAAAAUUAUAUUUCUUUUUUAUGUGGGACUUUUAAU
rnacentral:lncRNA from 1 species